UACGUAGGUGGCAAGCGUUAUCCGGAAUUAUUGGGCGUAAAGCGCUCGCAGGCGGUUUUUUAAGUCUGAUGUGAAAGCCCACGGCUCAACCGUGGAGGGUCAUUGGAAACUGGGAAACUUGAGUGCAGAAGAGGAGAGUGGAAUUCCACGUGUAGCGGUGAAAUGCGUAGAGAUGUGGAGGAACACCAGUGGCGAAGGCGGGUCUCUGGACAGUUCCUGACACUGAGACACGAAGGCCAGGGGAGCAAACGGG
rnacentral:rRNA from 1 species